rnacentral:tRNA from 1 species
GCACUGGUGGUUCAGUGGUAAAAUUUUCUCCUUUCAUGUAGGAGACCCGGGUUCGAUUCCCAGUCAUUGCA